AUUGAACGCUGGCGGCAGGCCUAACACAUGCAAGUCGAGCGAGCGGCGGACGGGUGAGUAAUGUCUGGGGAUCUGCCUGAUAGAGGGGGAUAACUACUGGAAACGGUAGCUAAUACCGCAUACCAUCCGAUGUCCCCAUAUGGGAUUAGCUAGUAGGUGGGGUAAUGGCUCACCUAGGCGACGAUCCCUAGCUGGUCUGAGAGGAUGAUCAGCCACACUGGAACUGAGACACGGUCCAGACUCCUACGGGAGGCAGCAGUGGGGAAUAUUGGGCAAUGGACGAAAGCCUGACGCAGCAAUGCCGCGUGAGUGAAGAAGGCUUUCGGGUUGUAAAACACUGUCAGUGGAGAAGCGGUAUCUGAAGAGAAAGCACCGGCUAACUCCGUGCCAGCAGCCGCGGUAAUAC
rnacentral:rRNA from 1 species